ensembl:lncRNA
CUCCAAAAUUGGCAAUAACAGAAAAUAGCUUUUUGUAUGCAGCACAGAAACAGGUGGCUGAAGAUAUCCCCUCCUAAAAGCAGAAAGGGGGAAUACCUAAAUGGAUUUCAAGAUAAAAUCGAGUGUUCUUUCCUUUCUCCAUGGAAAACAAAACAAGACCAACCCAUUUUACUAGUUACCAGGUGUUUCUCAUUUAAUUCAUUUCAUUAACUUCUUAUAACUUGUUCAGCCAGCUCUGCAGACAAUUGAUUUUUAUUACUAUAUGCUUCAGUGCCUUUCUAUGCAAGAUUUUCCCAUUUACAACACAGCUCUACAAAUCUCUUUAAAAUUAUAUUGCUUUAUUUCUCUUUUGAGAGUUUAGACUGCCUUUUCAAUCAACCUUAUUUAUUUAGCACAGUCUUCUACAGGGCAAAUAUAACAUCAGACAUUUACAUGUAUGGUUGCUGCUUUCAGAGGUUUGAUUUCAAGGUAAUCGUUAGGAUGCUGCUGCUGGUGAAAACUGCUGACAAGACAAAAAAAACAGCAUGAUUAUGAUACUGUAACUAUUGGAUAGAUACGAGACCUGAGACAAUAUUUGGAAUGUACUUUCUAACGACAAAGCAGCUUUUAACAUACUGUAUGGGAACUGUUGAAUCACGGUCUGAACCUCUGAUUGACCACCUGAGGUGAGCACUGAGUCAGCUGCAGGGGCACAGGUGAAUGCAGUUUCACCUGAGUGACUGGAAGGGGUGGAGCCUGGCUCCUCCUAGACCCCAUUUAAGGGCUGACUCCCAAGGAGGAAAGAUCUCUAUCUGGAGAUCACUUCUCUUGGCACCCUUCUGUGAGCCCAGGACAUGGACAGAAGAAGAAAUUUUCCAAAUGCACUUAUCCAGUCUCAGCCUUCAGGAAGAAAUGAAAACUCGCAUUCCAAAAUCCUGAUUUCUCUCCUUGAUAUGAUUAAAUUUGGUAGCUAAAGGCAAGUGUUCAGAUGUAAUUUAAUGAGAUAUUUGAAAAGCAUUUAAUUAAUUGCUGACAAAAACCAGCUCCAUACAUUUCCAGCAGAAGAUGAUAAAAAUUAUCAAUACUUGAUGAUGAAAAAAACCCAGUAAAUAAAACCUUGUUGCUAUAAGUUACAGGUAUCAGUACUUUGCCUGCUAUUUAAUUUUGAUCAAUAAAUGGAAGUACACAUUUAAUUCUAUUUCCUGAGAAAUACUGAAAUAGAGAAAAUGAUAUAAAAGCAUUAAGUGAUAAAGGCAGGGAGACUGAAUUUGCUUGAUCAACUAGGCCCACGCAAUAUCAAAUGCAUUUUAAUAGAGGCCGCUGAAACACUACACGGGCUGAAAUAAAGAAACUGGCCAUAUGUUGGCCAUAUGGGGUAGGGGGAGGAAAAGAAGGAUAUCCUAGAAUGCAAGGAGAAGAAUUUGAGCAUCUCAACAGCUGAGCAACUCAGUGAUUCCGGGCAAAAGCCAGUCUUGAAUCUACUAUUGGGCAAAAGACUGCGUAGCCUUAAACUAAAAUUCAUUUUAUCACUGCAGGCAGCAUCCUCAUAGCAGUUCCGUUUAUACAGAGAUCACAGGAUAGUUUGGGUUGGAAGGGCCCUCAAAGCCCACCCAGCCCCAUCCCCUGCUGUGGGCAGAGCUGCCCCCCGCCAGCUCAGCUGCCCAGGGCCCCAUCCAACCUGGCCUUGAGCGCCUCCAGGGAUGGGGCACCACAGCUUCUCUGGGCAGCUGUGCCAGCGCCUCACCGCCCUCUGAGGGAAAACACACCUUUUCUGAGUACUUGAAAUUAAAAGGCGCAGAAGAAAAACCUAACUCAGAAAGCCUUAGAAUUUGAAACAGGCUAAGCUAUUCAGAUAAUGGAAAAAGCUCAAUGAAGUGACCCUUCAAAAGCAGGCGCUGAAAGCUUUGAAUUUAUUAAGGCACGGUAAAAACGUCAAUUUAAAAAUGGAAGCUUUGUGAAUUCUAACAGGGAACACAGCAGUUCCAUUGGAAGCAGCGAAGGCCACCAAGAGCUAGAACGAUAUAUGGGUGGAAGCAUCUCCUCUUUAAUGGCAUGAACCCAC